UAAACUAGGAUUAGAUACCCUAUUAUUUUGAGUGUUAAAUUUAAAUACUUUAUUAGUAGUAGUUAUGUUCUUGAAAAUAAAUAGAUUUGGCGGUACUUUAGUCCAUUCAGAGGAACCUGUCCUAUAAUUGAUAAUCCACGAUUUAUUGCACUUAUUUUAAUUAGUUUAUAUAUCGCCGUUUUAGAAUUUUUUGAAAGAAUUUUAAUAUUUAAGAUUUUAUUUAUAAAAGUAGUUCAGGUCAAGAUGUAGUUUAUAGAUAAGGAGAGAUGGGUUACAUUAAUUUUAUUUAUUGGAUUAUUAUUUUAAAAAUAAUAAGAAAUUGGAUU
rnacentral:rRNA from 1 species